rnacentral:sRNA from 1 species
AGUGCCGUGGCUGGAGCUGCUCGCCCGAUUCCCCACCUAAAGGGCCCGAAGGAUGGGGCCACGGCCCAUGUGCGGUCCAGAUCCUGCACCUGCUCCUGUGCCGCUCUUUCCAGCUGGCUUACCUCUUACAGCACCCUGAGGAGCGGGCACAGCCAGAGCCCUGCCCAGGGCCCACAGGGGAGGUGCCCCUAAAGCCACUGUCCAGCUCCGGGGGCCUGGUGCGGGAGCCCUUCGGCCGUGAUCAACUCUCUCAGAACGUCCAUGCACUGGUCUCCUUCCGGCGGCUGCCAGCAGAAGGGCUGGUAGGCAGUGGGGUACGCAGCACCCCAGCCAAGGAGUGGGCAGUGGACAAGGGAACUGGAAGGAGCUGCCAGAGUCGGAAGGCCGUGCCCGCCAUGCCCGCCUGGGGAAUCCCUACUGCUCGCCCACGCUGGUGCGCAAGAAGGCCAUUCGCAGCAAGGUGAUCCGCUCGGGGGCCUACCGCGGCUGCACCUAUGAGACCCAGCUGCAGCUGUCGGCUCGGGAGGCCUUUCCUGCUGCAUGGGAGGCAUGGCCCCGGGGUCCUGGUGGCCACUCGUGUCUGGUGGAGAGCGAGGGCAGCUUGACGGAGAACAUCUGGGCCUUCGCUGGCAUCUCCAGGCCCUGUGCCCUGGCCCUGUUGCGGAGAGACGUGCUGGGGGCCUUCCUGCUGUGGCCUGAGCUGGGUGCUAGCGGCCAGUGGUGUCUGUCCGUGCGCACGCAGUGCGGCGUGGUGCCCCACCAGGUCUUCCGGAACCACCUGGGCCGCUACUGCUUGGAGCACCUGCCGGCAGAGUUCCCCAGCCUGGAGGCUCUGGUGGAGAACCACGCGGUUACUGAACGCAGCCUCUUCUGUCCCCUCGACAUGGGCCGCCUGAACCCCACCUACGAGGAGCAGGACUGUGGGCCCCUGGGCAGGCCGCCCCGGACUCUCCGGCCCCUCAGCCAUGCCAAGUCCGAGGCAGAGCUGCAGGGCCUGGGCUAAGAGGUAGGGCCCCGGUCCCACAGGCCCCACCUCACCCCGGCUCCUGGGCCCCAGCAGCGUCUCUGCCCGUCCUGCACCCCUCUGGUCGCCAGUUCCAUCCAGUCACCCUGCCCUUGGAGCAGUCUUCCAUCGUGUCAUUGUCCGUGGGAGGGGAGCCCUGAGGGUGGGUAUCGCCAAUGGCUUCUUGGAGAACAUGUGGCCUGCUGAGAUUCCAGGAGGGCAGGUGGAGUUGCAGGCUUUGGAUAACCCGCUGGGUGGCUUCCGAUGACCUGCUGGGUGGCUUCGGAUGCUUUGGGACUUCUGGGCUUCCGCUUUACUCCUGGAGCAGGAGCUUGUUCACGGCAGAGCUGUGGCCCUCUCCUAAGGAGGCCAGGCCUUGGGGCCCUGACUGGGAGUCUCCAGAAAGAGGGGUUUGGGGAGGCAGGAGUGAGUUUUUACCCUGGGCAAAGACCUGGAGUGAGCCACCCUGUCUGUGAGAGCAGAGACGACUCCGUAGAGCUUGUGGGCAGGAGGCUGGGGAUGAGCCCCAUCUAGGCGGACAGAGCAGGGCUGUUUCUUACAUGUAUCUGAGAGUGAAGGAGGGGUGGGAAGGUGCAGAGCAGGCAGGAGGGACAGAGGGCUGUGCCUAACGCUCACGCACGGUGGACUCCUGUGUGCAGAAAGGGAUGCGCACCAGCAGAUGAGGCCAAGAAUCUCCAUGCUGUCUCCACUCAAAACCUCAGGGCUGUGACUCCCGCUUUCUCAAAAGGGACGCGCAGGCUCACCCCUUUCCCCUAGGAAUCACCAGGGCACCCCCACUCCCAGCUCAUCUCCUUUAGCCAUUUGACAGGGAGGGGCCCGCAGUGAGCUGCAGGCUUAGAGGAGUGACCAGGGCCCUUCCUAACUCGACCACACGUGGUUUGGUGGCUGCCUUGGGAGGGCGGCUGUCCGAUGCUGACAUUCCCCUUAGCAUGGCGCUGACUGUGCCUGUCAGGGGCCACCUUGCCUCACCAGGCCAGCCCCACUGGGAAUGGGGUCAGUCACAGCAGAACCGUCAAAAGGUGGACCUGAUGUGGGCCCUGCCGGGGGCGCUUGGCCUCAGCGGGCCAUGGGAGACCCAGGGAAACGACUCUUAGUGUGAGGCAGUGGUCCUGCCAGUGACUGACAAAACCAGGUAUCCCUCUUUGUAAGCAAACUUGACAAAUAUGAAUCUACUGAACUCAGUUAUAGAACAAGUUCAUUUUGCAUGAACUUCUCUUACCGCGUCAUGAGCCUGGGGGCUGCCCUCUCCCCGUCUGGGAGUGGGACAGAACUGUUCAGUGCCUUGAAAGUCACAGAUUUCUGACUCCUGGAAGGAAGUGGGCAGUCCCACCAGAGCAGAAAGAAAGGAGGCAAACUUGGGGAGUGAGAAGCCAGCCUCCCAGAGGCCCAGGCCUCGUGUUCCCCACCUCCAACCCUCCAGUGAGGAGAAGGGCUUGGCUUGGGACCUUGUAACUUCCUUGCAAGUUAAGUGAGCUAUCCUGUCACAAAAGAUAGAAGGAACUGCCCUUUGGGACUUCUUUUCACUGGAAACCCAGCACUGGUUUUAUGUUGAGUGAAUGGGAAGCUGGGACUCUGUUUUACAGCCAUCUGUACUGGAGCCUGGACAAAGCACUGGUCUCUAUGGGAGGCCCCAGCCUCACAUUUCCCUGGCAAGGAGAGAGAGGUUUAGUGAUGUCCUGGGCCUAGGAUUACAGCCCAGAGAUGGGCACUUAAGAAGACCUGGUCAUUGGUCCAGACUUGGGCCAAGGCUUUCCUCUGUGAGGGAUGGGUUUUACUGGUGAAUUACCUGUGUGGAGAAGCUAUCAGGGCCAUGUUUAGCACACUGAAGGGACCAGUCUCCACCAAGCACUUUAACAUCCCUCCAGCCAGCAUUGAUUGAUCUCGUGUUACAGAGAGGGCAAGGUUUUUGGCCCCUGUUUGCAGACUCCAUGUCUUAAUCAGAGACCACAGUUUUCUCUUUGUUUCAAUCAGCGCCACCUUGGUAGCCCCGCUUUCCUUGCUGUGUGGACUUGAAACAAAAUAAAAUGUGUUGCUUC